CGCGGCCUAUCAGCUUGUUGGUGAGGUAACGGCUCACCAAGGCGACGACGGGUAGCUGGUCUGAGAGGAUGAUCAGUCACACUGGAACUGAGACACGGUCCAGACACCUACGGGUGGCAGCAGUCGAGAAUCAUUCGCAAUGGGGGAAACCCUGACGGUGCGACGCCGCGUGGAGGAUGAAGGCCCUCGGGUCGUAAACUCCUGUCAUCAGAGAGUAAUGGCUUACUAUUAAUAGUAGUGGGUCUUGAUAGUAUCUGAAGAGGAAGGGACGGCUAACUUCGUGCCAGCAGCCGCGGUAAUACGAAGGUCCCAAGCGUUGUUCGGAAUCACUGGGCGUAAAGCGUGUGUAGGCGGCGUGGAAAGUCAGAUGUGAAAGCCCGGGGCUCAACCUCGGAACUGCAUCCGAUACUCCCAUGCUCGAGUAGUGGAGGGGCAUCUGGAAUUCACGGUGUAGCAGUGAAAUGCGUAGAUAUCGUGAGGAACACUAGUGGCGAAGGCGAGAUGCUGGACACUAACUGACGCUGAGACACGAAGGCCAGGGUAGCGAAAGGGAUUAGAUACCCCUGUAGUCCUGGCAGUAAACGGUGCGGGCUUGGUGUGGGGAGAUUCGACCCUCCCUGUGCCGGAGCUAACGCGUUAAGCCCCCCGCCUGGGGAGUACGG
rnacentral:rRNA from 1 species